UAUCUACUGUACAAUAUAAAGCGCCUUGAGGCGACUUUUGUUGUGAUUUGGCGCUAUAUAAAUAAAAUUGAAUUGAAUUGAAUUGAAUUGUCUGUGAACUUUUCAAGACACACACACACCCGCUAAUUAGUGCUGAGUUAUAACAGCUAUUAGAACUGAAAAUGAUGCUUCUUGGAUGGUCUGUGCCAUCAUGUGAUGGGUUUAGUAGACUGGGCUAAUGACCAUAAGCAAAGCCUACCAAAUAAUUGGCUACACAUCCCUGUGUUUGUGCAUCUGUCAAUGUGAUUGUGAAAUACACAAUCACUUGAUUGUGUAUUUCACAUUUUAGAUACCAAGCAAAGCAAAUCUGUGCAAGCCUUGAGAGCGUGAAAAAAUCUGUUUUUGACUUGAGAACCAGUAUAAAGGAAAGGUUUUGCCAACAAAACCUGCCAACACCUUUAGAAAAUGCAUUGCAGGUGUUUUCUUCAGUCAAAUCUUGCAGUGAAAACCUAUAAAAAAUAUACUGAGUAUAACCAAGAUGUCAAUUUGACAGUUAUCACUACCAUUAUCAGUUGUUUCAGUUUUCUGUAAAUUCAUGCUUCUUUAUCUAAGAAUUCCUUCCAAUACACACUGUAUGUGUCAGUAUACAUUUUCUAGAAAUUUCAAACUGAUUUCCAAUUUAAGGUGCCAAACCCCUGCAACAGUCACUUCAAAGUACUGUAUAUUAUACCAUAAGUUAAAGAUCCUACAGAGAAAAUCCCAACAAUCAGAUGAACGUCCAUGAGCAUGCACCUGGCAACAGUGGGAAGGAAGAACUCCCCUUUGACAGGAAGAAUCCUCCAGCAGAACCAGGUUCUGAAGAAUAAGUCAUCUGCUGUGACCAGUUGGGGUUGAAGGGGAGGUGAUGGAGUCAUGUUUCAAGGUGUUGUUGUUAACUAAAGGAUGAUCCUGCAUUUGUGGAGCUACAGUGGCUCCAGUCUGGAGAGGAACUAAAUGUGCCCUUUUUUUUAAUGAAGCAUGUAUUUUGUUUGUGCUAGCAGGAAAAAUAAAGGUGUAACUGAUACAAUUCAAAACUAUUCUUGCAUUGUGCAGUCUUCUUCAGUGGGUUAUAAAGGCAAACUGCUGUUUCGACAUUUGUGAGGAAGUGAUAAGGAAGUAGGAUUUUCCCUGGACAGACAAGAAAAUCAAACAUGCUGGCGUCUUUGUUCCACUGUCAUCACAGGGCAGUGGAGGAAGGGGAAAGAAGCCAGAUGUUCAGGAUCUACCUGUAGGCUGCUGCUGGAAUUGAAAUGAAACAUGCACGUCAAGUUUGACAUUUUUAAUAUAGGCGUCUGUGAGGACUGACUCGCUUUUGGGACUAGCCUCAAGUGGUCAUUAGAGGAACUGCAGUUUUUGGCUUUACCACCUGGUCCACUAUGGUAAUCUUCUUUUUAAAGGUGCUUAAAUAAUAUUGAAAUAAAGUGUUGUGUUAUUUUGAAUUUCACAUUUUAUGUUCCAAGCAAAGCAAAUCUGUGCAAGUCUUGAGAGGAAAUUGAAAAAUCUGUGUUUUUGACCUGAGAACCAGUAUGUGGGCUUAUUUUUUUCUCCCAUUUUUACAUUGUUACAAAUGGUGAAGAAGAAUGAAAGGCAAAUUCAUUUUCAGGUUUUGCUUUGUUUUGUUUUAAUAGACCACAUCAGCUACACGAGGUUUUAAUACAUUACAUUUGUCUGUUUUCACAGGAUGGUUCAUGUCUUGGAGUACAUGGCCACGGUAAGUUUGUUCCUAAUUUGCUAAGCUAGGAUAUGUUCAAGUGAAAAGAUGAGAGCAUAUAAAACUACCACCUUCAAACCUAUGUAGAUUCAGGAAACAUCCUAAAACCAUGAAAACAAGUCACCUAAACCAAAGACAGCUGUUUGUUCUGGUAUGAAAUGCCAACACCUUUAGAAAAUGCAUUGCAGGUGUUUUCUUCAGUCAAAUCUUGCAGUGAAAACUUAUAAAAAAUAUACUGAGUAUAGUCAAGAAGUCAGGUUGACGGUUAUCACUACCAUUAUCAGCAGUUUUUAUUUUCUGUAAAUUCAUGCUUCUUUAUCUAAGAAUUCUGUCUAAGAAUUGUAUGUGUCAGUAUAAAUUUACUGGAAAUUUCAAAGUCAUUUCCAACUUACUCAGUUUUAUUGAUAUGGUGCCAAACCACUACAACACUCACCUCAUGGUGUAUUAUAUCAUAAGUUAAAGAUCCUACAGAGAAAAUCCCAACAAUCAGAUGAACGCCCAUGAGCAUGCACCUGGCAACAGUGGGAAGGAAGAACUCCCCUUUGACAGGAAGAAUCCUCCAGCAGAACCAGGUUCUGAAGAAUAAGUCAUCUGCUGUGACCAGUUGGGGUUGAAGGGGAGGUGAUGGAGCCAUGUUUCAAGGUGUUCUAACUAAAGGAUGAGUCUGCAUUUGUGGAGCUACAGUGGCUCCAGUCUGGAGAGGAAGUAAAUGUGCCUUUUUAAAAAAAUAAAUAAAUAAAUAAAGCAUGUAUUUUGUUUGUGCUAGCAGGAAAAAUAAAGGUGUAACUGAUACAAUUCAAAACUAUUCUUGCACUGUGCAGUCUCCUUCAGUGGGUUGUAAAAGCAAACUGCUGUUUAGACAUUUAUGAGGAAGUGAUGAGGAAGUAGGAUUUUCCCUGGACAGACAAGAAAAUCAAACAUGCUGGCGUCUUUGUUCCACUGUCAUCACAGGGCAGUGGAGGAAGGGGAAAGAAGCCAGAUGUUCAGGAUCUACCUGUAGGCUGCUGCUGGAAUUGAAAUGAAACAUGCACGUCAAGGUCAGAAGCUUUACCUGUAGUUGUUGCACCUGCAUAUAUCUGUGGCAGUGUGAACCUGUCUUUUCCCUCGGAGUUCAAACGUUACAGUGAGAAUGACUGCACAGAGCAUUUUUGUGCCAUAACAGUACCUAACAGCAGCAAAACAGUAGUAAACACAUCUAAAAGCAGAGGAAUUCACCAGUUUGGGAAAUACUUGCUCAGUUAAUUUGGUUCAUCAGUAGAAAAAGAAACUUGUGUUUUUGAACUGUUGGUUUAAAAAAAAUAGGACUCUGGCAAAUGUGUCUGUUUUCUGACCACAUAAUUUGUCCAUUAACUGAAAGAAUAAUUGGUAAUUGAUUAGAA